GGUGGUCGAGGAUAGUCUUUUGGAAGUCACAUGUUUUCCUCUUGUCCAAACCUACCUCCUCCAUUCUCCCCAUCCCUCUCUUCCUGGCCACCCUCCCUACUUCCCCUGCUGCAGGAAGAAGCUGGCUCAGAGGCUUCAGGAUGCUGAGGAGGCAGUGGAGGCCGUCAACGCCAAGUGCUCCUCGCUGGAGAAGACCAAGCACAGGCUGCAGAACGAGAUCGAGGACCUGAUGGUGGAUGUGGAGCGCUCCAAUGCGGCCG
rnacentral:lncRNA from 1 species